rnacentral:rRNA from 1 species
CACCGCCCGUCGCUACUACCGAUUGAAUGGCUCAGUGAGGCCUUCGGACUGGCCUCAGGAGGGUUGGCAACGACCCCCCCGAGCCGGAAGUUGGUCAAACUCGGUCAUUUAGAGGAAGUAAAAGUCGUAACAAGGUUUCCGUAGGUGAACCUGCGGAAGGAUCAUUA